rnacentral:rRNA from 1 species
UACGUAGGGUGCAAGCGUUGUCCGGAAUUAUUGGGCGUAAAGAGCUCGUAGGCGGUCUGUUGCGUCGGCUGUGAAAACCCGGGGCUCAACCCCGGGCCUGCAGCCGAUACGGGCAGACUAGAGUUCGGCAGGGGAGACUGGAAUUCCUGGUGUAGCGGUGAAAUGCGCAGAUAUCAGGAGGAACACCGGUGGCGAAGGCGGGUCUCUGGGCCGAAAUUGACGCUGAGGAGCGAAAGCGUGGGGAGCAAACAGG